AUUCUGUAUGAAAAGAGAGAAGGUUAGCGCUCUCCUUGACAAGGAUAAAAGAGACCCUUAGGACAUACAGCAUUCAUACUGUUAAGUCAUUGCCACCUACUUUGUGGCAUCUAACCACAGUAUAUU
rnacentral:ncRNA from 1 species